rnacentral:tRNA from 1 species
UCCCUGGUGGUCCAGUGGUUAGGACCCUUAUUUCACUGCCAAGGGUCUGGGUUCAAUUCCUGGUUGGGGAA